GGAGCUUGCUCUGUGGGAUCAGUGGCGAACGGGUGAGUAACACGUGAGCAACCUGCCCCUGACUCUGGGAUAAGCGCUGGAAACGGCGUCUAAUACUGGAUAUGUGACGUGAUCGCAUGGUCUGCGUCUGGAAAGAAUUUCGGUUGGGGAUGGGCUCGCGGCCUAUCAGCUUGUUGGUGAGGUAAUGGCUCACCAAGGCGUCGACGGGUAGCCGGCCUGAGAGGGUGACCGGCCACACUGGGACUGAGACACGGCCCAGACUCCUACGGGAGGCAGCAGUGGGGAAUAUUGCACAAUGGGCGCAAGCCUGAUGCAGCAACGCCCCGUGAGGGAUGACGGCCUUCGGGUUGUAAACCUCUUUUAGCAGGGAAGAAGCGAAAGUGACGGUACCUGCAGAAAAAGCGCCGGCUAACUACGUGCCAGCAGCCGCGGUAAUACGUAGGGCGCAAGCGUUAUCCGGAAUUAUUGGGCGUAAAGAGCUCGUAGGCGGUUUGUCGCGUCUGCUGUGAAAUCCGGAGGCUCAACCUCCGGCCUGCA
rnacentral:rRNA from 1 species